rnacentral:lncRNA from 1 species
UUUUGAGUUGAUCAUUUUCAUUGUUGCAAAUUGCUCCCCCUUGGAUGUAUAUGCUUUCCUAUAUGAUUUUCAAUUUGUUUUACAAAUUAUUUCUCUUUCUUUCUUUACUUCUCCUCUUAUUACUCUUUCUUUACUUCUCCCCCUUUUUGUUACUCUAUUUACUCUAAAGAUAUCUUUACUUCUCCCUUUACUUCUCCUAAGAUACUCUUUCUUUACUUCUCCCCCAAGAUGAUCUUUGCUUCUCCUAAAGUACUCUUUCUUUACUUCUCAAAUAAAAUACUCUUUCUUUUCUUAAAUUGAUAUACUCUUUCUUUUCUUCUCCCCCUUUUUGUUAUCAUCAAAAAAAAAAUGUAUAUAUGGGGAAAAGAUGCAAUAAAUACCAAACUUCAAACUUCAUUGAUCAAAAUAGGAACAUUUUAGUAUAUCAAAAGCAAAAGCAAAUACAAU